GUCAGGGAUAGCAUAUCACCGGCGGACGGGUGUGUAACGCGUACACAACGUACCCAAGGGAGGAGGAAAGCGGCGGGAAACUGCCGGUAAUACUCCAUGGUGUUGCAGGAUGGCAUCAUUUUGCAACUAAAGUACCUGCGCCCUUGGAUCGGUGUGCGUUCGAUUAGCUAGUUGGCGGGGUAACGGCCCACCAAGGCUACGAUCGAUAGGGGGUGUGAGAGCAUGGCCCCCCACACGGGUACUGAGACACGGACCCGACUCCUACGGGAGGCAGCAGUAAGGAAUAUUGGACAAUGGGCGGAAGCCUGAUCCAGCCAUGCCGCGUGAAGGACGAAGGCGCUCAGCGUUGUAAACUUCUUUUGGAUGGGAACAAUAAUUGGGACUUGUCCUGACUUGAGGGUACCAUCAGAAUAAGCACCGGCUAACUCCGUGCCAGCAGCCGCGGUAAUACGGAGGGUGCAAAGCGUUAUCCGGAAUUACUGGGCGUAAAGGGCGCGUAGGACGGUUCGCUAAGUUGGAUGUGAAACUCUGGGCUUAACCCAGAGCCUGCAUCCAAAACUGGCAAACUUGAGUACUGGAGGGGAAAGGCGGAAUUCCUGGUGUAACGGUCGAAAUGCGUAGAAUGUUCAGGGAGGCAGAACCGGUGGGCGAAGGCAGGCUUUUCAUGGAACAGGUAAAGUGGA
rnacentral:rRNA from 1 species